rnacentral:misc_RNA from 1 species
ACUUCCAUACCGAAGGACGAGCCUAGACCCCACCGAGCGCAGCGAAGGUGUGGUCGUGGCUCGUUCCGAAGACGGUUAACCAAGCGGUACCAAGCGAGCGCAGCGACGCUGGUUGGUGAACUUGUAUUCUUCCACCAACAGUCAACCACCAGUCAACUACCCACCAAGCGUACCAAGCAACCGCAACAACGCUGGUUGGUGAACGCAAA